CCCUUAGAUGUUCUGGGCUGCACGCGCGCUACACUGAUGCGCACAACGAGUUCUCACCUUGCUCGACAGAGUUGGGAAAACUUUUAUGCGCAUCGUGCUGGGGAUAGAGCAUUGCAAUUCUUGCUCUUAAACGAGGAAUUCCUAGUAAGUGCAAGUCAUCAACUUGCGCUGAUUGCGUCCCUGCCCUUUGUACACACCGCCCGUCGCUCCUACCGAUUGAAUGUGUUGGUGAGGAGCUCGGAUUGGCAGCAGUUGGUGGUUCGCCACCGGCUAUUGCUGAGAAGUCCUCCAAACCGCCCCAUUUAGAGGAAGGAGAAGUCGUAACA
rnacentral:rRNA from 1 species